rnacentral:tRNA from 1 species
UCCUGGUUAGCUCAAUCGGUAGAGCGCUCAGCUAAUCUUGGAGAGAUCCCGGGGUCGAAUGCCGGACUAGGCA